CGCAUCUGUGCAUGCAGCAUAUCAAUAGCGGAGGAAAAGAAACUAACAAGGAUUCCCCUAGUAACGGCGAGUGAAGCGGGAUGAGCUCAAAUUUGAAAUCUUAAAGGUUUUCCCUUGACGAAUUGUAGUUUAAAGAAGUGUUUUCUGUGGAAGUUUUGGUAAAAGUUCUUUGGAAUAGGACAUCAUAGAGGGUGAGAAUCCCGUAUUUGACCAUUUACUUUUCAGCUGUGUGAUACACUUUCAAAGAGUCGGAUUGUUUGGGAAUGCAGUCCAAAAUGGGUGGUAAAUUUCAUCUAAAGCUAAAUAUUGGCGAGAGACCGAUAGCGAACAAGUACCGUGAGGGAAAGAUGAAAAGAACUUUGAAAAGAGAGUUAAACAGUACGUGAAAUUGUCAAAAGGGAAGCGUUUGACACCAGUGUUGUUUUCUCGAAAAUCAAUUAAAAAGAGUUGGAUUUUGUGUUGUAUUGACCUUAACAGCUUGCUUCACUCUUUUCCAGCUUUUUUUAAUGCACUUUUCGUUUAACAAGUCAGCAUCAGUUUCUUUUGUUGUAAAAGGGUCAUUGGAAGGUGGCUUUCUCUUCGGAGAAAGUGUUUAUAGCCUUUGAUCUCUGCAAUCGGAGAGACUGAGGUCUGCAGCGUAGAUCCUUCGGGGUUAGAUACAUUUGUGCUAAGCUACAGCUUUUCAUAGACAACUUGUUGACUAUGUUUAGUCUUGUGACUUACCCGCUUAUGCUAUUUUACCUACGCUUAGGAUGUUGAUAUGCAUGACUGAUAU
rnacentral:rRNA from 1 species